UACGUAGGGGGCAAGCGUUGGUCCGGAAUCAUUGGGCGUAAGAAGCGCGUAGGCGGCCCAGUAAGUCCGCUCUGAAAGUCAGGGGCUCAACCCCUGAAUGCCGGUGGAUACUGUCGAGCUAGAGUCCGGAAGAGGCGAGUGGAAUUCCUGGUGUAGCGGUGGAAUGCGCAGAUAUCAGGAGGAACACCAACGGCGAAGGCAGCUCGCUGGGACGGUACUGACGCUAAGGCGCGAAAGCGUGGGGAGCGAACAGGA
rnacentral:rRNA from 1 species